rnacentral:rRNA from 1 species
UGGCGAACGGGUGAGUAACACGUGGGUAACCUGCCCAUCAGAAGGGGAUAACACUUGGAAACAGGUGCUAAUACCGUAUAACACUAUUUUCCGCAUGGAAGAAAGUUGAAAGGCGCUUUUGCGUCACUGAUGGAUGGACCCGCGGUGCAUUAGCUAGUUGGUGAGGUAACGGCUCACCAAGGCAACGAUGCAUAGCCGACCUGAGAGGGUGAUCGGCCACACUGGGACUGAGACACGGCCCAGACUCCUACGGGAGGCAGCAGUAGGGAAUCUUCGGCAAUGGACGAAAGUCUGACCGAGCAACGCCGCGUGAGUGAAGAAGGUUUUCGGAUCGUAAAACUCUGUUGUUAGAGAAGAACAAGGAUGAGAGUAAAACGUUCAUCCCUUGACGUAUCUAACCAG